rnacentral:lncRNA from 1 species
AAGAUAAGUGGAUGGAGGAGCAUAUGAUGUUGUAGGAGGAGAGGGAUAAGUUGAAGGAGGAGCAGGAAAGGAUCUUGGAGGAGGAAAGGAAGUGGUUGUUAAAAAAGGUGCAGGAGAGUGUCCGUAAGGAGCAAGAGGAGUGAGAGAGGAAGGCCGAUGAGGAGGUAAAGAGGAUGGUUGAGGAGGAUCUUGAGAAGAUGUCCGAGAAGUGUACCCACGAUGUAAUUAAGGUAUAAGUUGUAUGUUGUUGUUAUUAUUGUUUGCGUAUUUUAAGUUUGUUUUAUAUUUAUGUUGUUUUUAUGAUGCAUAAAUUGAAUUCGUUGGGUCUUCUCAACCACACAAAUUUAAAUUAGUUGGAAAUUCAAGAGAAUGUAAAUGAGAAAGCUACGAGUGGUACAAGCACGAAAGAAAGUUUUU